UACGUAGGGCGCAAGCGUUGUUCGGAAUUACUGGGCGUAAAGGGCUCGUAGGCGGCCAACUAAGUCAGACGUGAAAUCCCUCGGCUUAACCGGGGAACUGCGUCUGAUACUGGAUGGCUUGAGUUUGGGAGAGGGAUGCGGAAUUCCAGGUGUAGCGGUGAAAUGCGUAGAUAUCCGGAGGAACACCGGUGGCGAAGGCGGCUUCCUGGACCGACACUGACGCUGAGGCGCGAAAGCUAGGGGAGCAAACGGG
rnacentral:rRNA from 1 species